UCCCUUUAAAAACCUGGAAAAAAGCUUAUAUUGUGGGUGAUGGGCAACCGUCUAUGGCAAUAAACGGCUUAUGUAAUAAGCGAAGCGGACCUGGGGCAGUUCCCCGGCACCUCCACCAUUUAUGGACAUGUUUUAGGGGGUGAUCCAGGAUCGACGCGCGUGUAAAGAUAGGUUUUUGCUCGGCAUUGUACCACCGUUAUCGGGCUGUUUGUUAUAAAUGCAAACAAAAACAAAGCACGUCGUCGUGUGGCUGCUAACUGCAACCAACGUCGCGUUGCUGCUCUUGCUGCCUAAUUAGGUUGGCGCGGUUUCGGGGGUCCUGGCAACAGAAUGCCCCACU
rnacentral:tmRNA from 1 species